rnacentral:ncRNA from 1 species
GACGUGCAACUGGCGGAUAAGUGGGAUUGACCACAGGGAGCACGUGGAAGACGAGAGCCGGCCGCCUGGGCUGCCCU